rnacentral:rRNA from 1 species
GCGGCAGGCCUAAUACAUGCAAGUCGAACGGCAGUAGAACCAGCAAUGGUUUUGCGAGAGUGGCGAACGGGUGCGUAACGCGUAUGCAACCUACCUCCAACUGGGGAAUAGCCCUGGGAAACCGGGAUUAAUACCGCAUAAGAUGGUAGAACCGCAUGGUUCAGCCAUUAAAGUUUUGCGGUUGGAGAUGGGCAUGCGUGCCAUUAGCUAGUUGGCGGGGUAAUAGCCCACCAAGGCGACGAUGGCUAGGGGUUCUGAGAGGAUGAUCCCCCACACUGGUACUGAGAUACGGACCAGACUCNUACGGGAGGCAGCAGUAGGGAAUAUUGGUCAAUGGACGAAAGUCUGAACCAGCCCAUGCCGCGUGCAGGAGGAAGGCGCUCUGCGUUGUAAACUGCUUUUGUACGGGAAGAAUAUUCCGUUUGCGAACGGAUUUGACGGUACCGUAAGAAUAAGGAUCGGCUAACUACGUGCCAGCAGCCGCGGUAAUACGUAGGAUCCAAGCGUUGUCCGGAUUUAUUGGGGUUUAAAGGGUGCGCAGGCGGCCUGAUAAGUCAGUGGUGAAAGCCCGUUGCUUAACAACGGAAUUGCCAUUGAUACUGUCGGGCUUGAGUACAGUUGAGGUUGGCGGAAUGUAUCAUGUAGCGGUGAAAUGCUUAGAUAUGAUACAGAACACCGAUUGCGAAGGCAGCUGACUAAGCUGUUACUGACNCUCAGGCACGAAAGCGUGGGGAUCAAACAGGAUUAAGAUACCCUGGUA